UGCUGGCUUUGGCAGCACGUGACUGAAACUGGAAUGAUACAGAGAAGAUUAGCAUGGUCACUGUGCAAUGAUAAUGUGUAAAUUCACAAAGCAUUUCAUGUAUUU
rnacentral:snRNA from 1 species